rnacentral:tRNA from 2 species
GGUGAGGUUCCCGAGCGGUCAAAGGGAUCAGACUGUAACUCUGACGCGAAAGCUUCGAAGGUUCGAAUCCUUCCCUCACCACCA